rnacentral:rRNA from 1 species
AUUGAACGCUAGCGGCAGGCCUUACACAUGCAAGUCGAACGGAGGGGCGAACGGGUGAGUAAUGUAUCGGAACGUGCCAAGUAGCGGGGGAUAACUACGAGAAAGCGAAACUAAAACCACACACUAUUGGAACGGGCUAUACCGGAUUAGCGAGUUGGUGGGGUAACGGCUCACCAAGGCGAAGAUCCGUAUCCGGUUUGAGAGGACGACCAGCCACACUGGAACGUAGACACGGCCCAGACUCCUACGUGAGGCAGCAGUGGGGAAUUUUGGACACUGGGGGAAAGCCUGAUCCAGCCAUCCCGCGUGUGCGAUGAAGGCCUUCGGGUUGUAAAGCACUUUUGGCAGGAAAGCGGUACCUGCAGAAUAAGCACCGGCUAACUACGUGCCAGCAGCCGCGGUAAUUC